rnacentral:lncRNA from 1 species
CAAUUACAAAAGAAGUCUUUUUACAACAACUAAUAGACACGUUCCAUCUAAUUUUUGUUUUUGUUAUCAAUUGAAAAUUGUGGUAAUAUUGAUACAGGAGCGUCAACUACAUCAAGUGUCAGUUGAUAUAUAUGUUUUGGUCAAAUACAUGUUUGUAUUUGCUCCUCCAAAAUUUGAA